CUGACCAAACUCAAACCCCAUUCUAGCUCACUUCUUCUAAGUUUGAUUGGUCACGCUAUGAGUUGGGUCAAAUAGGCAUUGAGUAGUCUCAAAAGCAAGUCAGGCAUGGGUUAGCCCCUAACCAGACCUAACCUCUUUGAGCUAUCAGCAAGCCUUCAUGGGCUAGAGUUGCACUACAUGUUACACCCAUGCAAGUUUCCAGUGCCUUACAGAAAGAAAAGGUUCGCAUAUUAAUUGUAAUAGAAACAUCACGUUUUUGUGUUAUGAAAGGAGGCACAAUAACAGCUUGCCUGAAAUGUUUGACCAUUAGCUCUUUGGACAAUGAAAUAGAAAACAAGACUACCGCCCUUCAUAGAUGUGUGGAUUUCACUGGACUAAUGGACCCCAUAGGCCACACCGCUCCUAGCUCAGCUACCUGAAAGUCAUAAAAGGUCUGCAUGCCUGGAGAAGAGUUAGUUCGUAAUAUAGUGGUCUAGCAAAUUUAAUGCAUCUAGAAAGAUCCAUUCUUUUGAAAGAAACUAAGGGUUAUUUUUAACACGCACAUAUGCACACACGAAGGAUCAUCUCAUCAAUCAUCA
rnacentral:lncRNA from 1 species